ACGGGAGGCAGCAGUGGGGGAUAUUGCACAAUGGGGGAAACCCUGAUGCAGCGACGCCGCGUGAGCGAUGAAGUAUUUCGGUAUGUAAAGCUCUAUCAGCAGGGAAGAUAAUGACGGUACCUGACUAAGAAGCCCCGGCUAACUACGUGCCAGCAGCCGCGGUAAUACGUAGGGGGCAAGCGUUGUCCGGGAUGACUGGGCGUAAAGGGCGUGUAGGCGGUUUUUUAAGUCUGGAGUGAAAGUCCUGCUUUCAAGGUGGGAAUUGCUUUGGGGACUGGAAGACUUGAGUGCGGAAGAGGUAAGUGGAAUUCCCAGUGUAGCGGUGAAAUGCGUAGAGAUUGGGAGGAACACCAGUGGCGAAGGCGACUUACUGGGCCGUAACUGACGUUGAGGCUCGAAAGCGUGGGGAGCAAACAGGAUUAGAUACCCUGGUA
rnacentral:rRNA from 1 species